ACCUGGGUGGCUCAGUUGGUUGAGCAUCUGACUUCAGCUCAGGUCAUGAUCUCGUGGUUCGUGAGUUCGAGCCCCACGCUGGGCU
rnacentral:tRNA from 1 species